rnacentral:rRNA from 1 species
UACGUAGGCAGCGAGCGUUGUUCGGAAUUACUGGGCGUAAAGGGCUCGUAGGCGGCCAACUAAGUCAGACGUGAAAUCCCUCGGCUUAACCGGGGAACUGCAUCUGAUACUGGAUGGCUUGAGUUCGGGAGAGGGAUGCGGAAUUCCAGGUGUAGCGGUGAAAUGCGUAGAUAUCUGGAGGAACACCGGUGGCGAAGGCGGCAUCCUGGACCGACACUGACGCUGAGGAGCGAAAGCCAGGGGAGCAAACGGG